GGCUGACCUUGUCAUUGAACCAGAAAUUGCUUCCUUGAUCCAUCACAUAAAGAAAAUAAAUGGCAUUGCUCAUCUGAAGCGAACUAAAUUUGGCAAAGUUGAUUUGGAUUAUGUUCUUGGGAUUGGAGGCUUUGAUUUGGAGAGAAUUGAGAGUGCAGUUAAUGCAGAGGACUCAAAGGAAGAUCACAAAGAUCACACAAUUCAUGAUCAUAAUCAUGACCAUCAUGAACCUGACCAUAAACAUGGUAA